rnacentral:rRNA from 1 species
GGCGAUCAGAUACCGCCCUAGUUCUGACCGUAAACGAUGCCAACUAGCGAUCCGCCAGUCGACUCAUCGCUCUGGUGGGGAGCUUCCCGGAAACGAAAGUCUUCCGGUUCCGGGGGAGGUAUGGUUGCAAAGCUGAAACUUAAAGGAAUUGACGGAAGGGCACCACCAGGAGUGGAGCCUGCGGCUUAAUUUGACUCAACACGGGGAAACUCACCCGGCCCGGACACCGUAAGGAUUGACAGAUUGAUAGCUUUUUCAUGAUUCGGUGGAUGGUGGUGCAUGGCCGUUCUUAGUUCGUGGAGCGAUUUGUCUGGUUUAUUCCGAUAACGAGCGAGACUCUGGCCUACUAAAUAGUUGACGCAUUGCCACUGUGCGCACAACUUCUUAGAGGGAUUUUCGGUGUUUUCAACCGCACGAAAUUGAGCAAUAACAGGUCUGUGAUGCCCUUAGAUGUCCGGGGCUGCACGCGCGCUACACUGGCAAACGCAACGUGCCUGUCCUGCCCCGAAAGGAGCGGGUAAACCCCUGAAAUUUUGCCGUGAUUGGGAUCGGACAUUGCAACUAUUGUCCGUGAACGAGGAAUUCCUUGUAGGGGCGAGUCAUCAACUCGUCCCGAAUACGUCCCUGCCCUUUGUA